GUACAUGCGCAGUUGGCAAUAUCGUAACCAAUGAAGCAGGUCUCCUGAGGUGCGAUUAUUGCUAGUUGAAAACUUUUAGGGCGCCACGGUUGCCUAGCGGUUAUAGGCUAGACUCGCAAAGCUAAGAUGUAUUGCGGUAC
rnacentral:snRNA from 1 species